GCCAGGUGUGGUGGUGCACACCUGUAUUCCCAGUUACUUGGGAGGCUAAGGCAGGGGGAUCACUUGAGCCCAGGAACUUGAGGCUGCAGUGAGCUAUGACUGCACCACUGCACUCCAGCCUGGGCAACAGAGUGAGACCCUGUCUCAA
ensembl:misc_RNA Metazoa_SRP Metazoan signal recognition particle RNA